UACAGAGGGUGCGAGCGUUAAUCGGAGUUACUGGGCGUAAAGGGCGCGUAGGCGGUUAUUUAAGUUAGAUGUGAAAUCCCUGGGCUUAACCUAGGAACUGCAUCUAAUACUGGGUGACUGGAGUAUUGUAGAGGGUAGUGGAAUUUCCGGUGUAGCGGUGAAAUGCGUAGAUAUCGGAAGGAACAUCAGUGGCGAAAGCGGCUUCCUGGACCAGUACCGACGUUCAGGCACGAAAGCGUGGGGAGCAAACAGG
rnacentral:rRNA from 1 species